GUGGGGAAUAUUGGACAAUGGGCGAAAGCCUGAUCCAGCCAUGUCGCGUGUGUGAAGAAGGUCUUCGGAUUGUAAAGCACUUUAAGUUGGGAGGAAGGGCAGUAAGUUAAUACCUUGCUGUUUUGACGUUACCGACAGAAUAAGCACCGGCUAACUUCGUGCCAGCAGCCGCGGUAAUACGAAGGGUGCAAGCGUUAAUCGGAAUUACUGGGCGUAAAGCGCGCGUAGGUGGUUUUGUAAGUUGAAGGUGAAAUCCUCGGGCUCAACCUGGAAACUGCCUCCAAAACUACUGAGCUAGAGUACGGUAGAGGGUAGUGGAAUUUCCUGUGUAGCGGUGAAAUGCGUAGAUAUAGGAAGGAACACCAGUGGCGAAGGCGACUACCUGGACUGAUACUGACACUGAGGUGCGAAAGCGUGGGGAGCAAACAGGAUUAGAAACCCUGGUAGUCC
rnacentral:rRNA from 1 species